GCGGAUGUAGCUCAGUUGGUAGAGCGACACCUUGCCAAGGUGUAGGUCGCCGGUUCGAGCCCGGUCAUCCGCU
rnacentral:tRNA from 2 species